GUGCUCUCUUUGAUAGCACGUGUUCUAAAAUUAGAACAAUACAGAGAAGAUCAGCCUGGCCCUGCACAAGGCUGACGAGCAAAUUCAUGAAGUAUUCCAUAUUUUA